GUGGGGAAUUUUGGACAAUGGGCGCAAGCCUGAUCCAGCAAUGCCGCGUGCAGGAAGAAGGCCUUCGGGUUGUAAACUGCUUUUGUACGGAACGAAACGGUCCUGGCUAAUAUCCGGGGCUAAUGACGGUACCGUAAGAAUAAGCACCGGCUAACUACGUGCCAGCAGCCGCGGUAAUACGUAGGGUGCGAGCGUUAAUCGGAAUUACUGGGCGUAAAGCGUGCGCAGGCGGUGCUGUAAGACAGGCGUGAAAUACCCGGGCUCAACCUGGGAAUGGAGCUUGUGAGUGCAGUGCUGGAGUGCGGCAGAGGGGGAUGGAAUUCCGCGUGUAGCAGUGAAAUGCGUAGAUAUGCGGAGGAACACCGAUGGCGAAGGCAAUCCCCUGGGCCUGCACUGACGCUCAUGCACGAAAGCGUGGGGAGCAAACAGGAUUAGAUACCCUUGUAGUCC
rnacentral:rRNA from 1 species